rnacentral:lncRNA from 1 species
UCAAAACCGCCAUAGGAUCAGCUCACACAGACGGUGGCAUUAAAAUAGAAAAAAACGUCAGCCAGGAAACCAGGGAAGGGAUCGCUAUAGGAAGUGACCACUGGGAGUCUAUCUGCCAUAAUUGAUAAAAAUCUUUCCUGCUUUACGUUUUGAGAAAUCUUUUGCCGCCCAUUAUUAAAAUUUAAAACCACCUUCAAAAGGAGGGUCUCUUAUAAAAACAGAAGCAGGCAAGAAAGAAAGGACACUCAACUCAUCAACCAAAAAAAACAACAGCAAGAAAAACAGCCAAGAGCUCACUUAAAUUCCAAGAGGAACCAACCUUAAAUCAGAAUUCCAAGGUUCAGACUUAGAAAACAAAUUUCCUAGAACGAGAUCCCUCGUUACAAAUUUGGUUCAGCAAAAGCCAAGACAAACAUAGUUUGAGUUUUCACAACUAUGAAAACCUUAACAAAUUUUACAGCAUGGUUCCAGCUUGCUAAAUCCUCGAGAAUAGCCACUUCUGUCCCUUCAGACUGAAGAAGUCACAGUUCUGCCCGCUCAAGAGCCUCCCAAGGCUUGAAGUAGAUUGAAGCUCUGCCAAAAUCGAACUUUGGUAUCGAUUUACAGCUGAAGCCAAGCAGCUAAAGUUGUUGACAGUACAGUCCAGCAUAGACAUACCCAGUCCAGCCCGGAUCAGAAGUUUCUACCCAGGCAGAAAUGGGAUUCCAACCAUCCUUUUGCCUUCCUAGAGUUGAUUUCUCCCUUCUUAAUUUUGUAAAAGGCAGUUCUGCCUGAAACAGUACUUUAUUAUUAUCUAUUCUGGCCAGAACAACCAUUUUUGGUACUGAGAUAAAUUGUGAAAGUCCUCACCAGUCUGAGGCAAGAAAAGAACUUACUUGGGAGAUAUUCCUCACCCAAAUUCACAAUCGUUUGUUUUAGAAGUCAGUAACUUGAGGCGCAAGUUAUCCACUCUAAAAAUAAGUCUGCUAGAAUUUACAUUGCUAGCAGUGGCACGCUCGCACACCAAAGAAAGCUGACUUGUCGACCAACAAGUGGUCUCCAAGCCAGUGGGGAACUUCGCCCUUCCACAUCAGGAGUUAAACACGAAAACGGGUGAACAAUUUGGCAUGCCCAGUGGGACUUCUCAGUAUACAUACUCUGACAGAGUCAUUCACAGAUUUACAAAAGCCGGAAGAUCUAGUCAGAACCCACACCAGACAUGGAGAAAAACAAGAUGGUUCUCAGAGAAGGCCUCGAAUCGGAAGAAAGCGACGCUAGGCAGUCUGCCCACGGCAGUACAGGAAGCAGACGUUCCAGGACUGGCUCCAAAAGGAUGAGCCAAAUAAAGGAGUCAGUACUCCGACAAGAGAUCACAGUACAAAGGAGCCAGGACACUCUCGAUAACAUGACAGCCAUGAUGCAAUGGCAGGUAAACAGGCAGUUCCGGAAGGACCGAGAAUCCGCCAUGGCCAGAAAUCCAAACCCAGAUCCUGUAAUCCAGCAGUUGGAUCUUCCUUAUGGCCCUCCGCCAGGACUAAUAUGGCCAUAUCAGGAAAAUCUUCUAGUUGCACAGAUGGCUGGAGUGCCAGGCCACACAGAAGUUCAGGCUGAUCCGAGGGAGAGAGCCCUUCCUAAUCAAGAACAUCAGGCCCCAGCCCAGCCAGAUAACCUGACACUGGCUCAGAACCAGCUAGGACCUCAGCCCAAUUCACAUCAUGCAGCCCCGCAUGAUCAACCUUUGGCGCUUCUGCCUGAACCACCGGCAGUAUUGCCAUAUAGACCCAGAAGGAUGGACCCUAAUCCAUUCCCUCCACCUGCAAGAGGGAGGAGAGGCCGAGGGGGAAACAACCUUUUUGCUAAUCAUGACAGGAAUAGACAGGGGGCAAACUGGAGGAAUCAUCCAGAAGUCGAAGAGCAGGAAGAACACAGGGAGGAAGUUCCACCCAGACCACUCAGGGCAGAACCCAGGUUUGAUUACGUUCAGCCAGAAUAGGGACAAAAUUUUCCCCCAGUCAAUGCUUUAAAUGACGUAGGGGCAUUGCGAAGAAUGGUCAGAGAGAUCAUGGAACCCGAGGCUAGAAGAGGGGAAAGGCCUACUUACAGAAAGCCAUACCCAGCCUACAUCGAUCAAAUACCGUUGUCUCCAGGUUUCAAAGUGCCAAACUUCACUUUGUUCAACGGGGAAGACCCUCAUGCUUCCUCAGUCGAACAUAUAGGCAGGUUCUCCGUCCAAUGCAUAGCUAUAGAAAACAACCCUCUGCUGAAAUUAAGGCUUUUUGGCAACUCUCUCUCUGGGCAAGCUUUUACCUGGUACACCAGCCUGCCAGCUAACUCUGUUCAAACCUGGGAACAGAUGGAAAAUGUCUUCCAUGACUACUAUUACAGGAUUCAGCCAGAAGUCACCAUCAGUGAUCUAGCUGCCCUCAAGCAGAGUGAAGAUGAACCGGUGCAAGAUUUUAUAACCAGGUUCAGAAGGCUCAAGAUGAAGUGCCGAAUCCCAAUGGAAGAAAGACACUUCAUCCAGAUGGCCCAAGCCGCCCUUAAAAUCUCCCUCAGGAAAAGGUUCGACGGGAUAUUGUUCGGAGAUCUGGCAGAACUGGCUGAUAAGGCAUCCAAAUAUGAAGAGCUACUCAGGGAAGAGCAGCAAAGGAGGAACUCCUCCAAAGGUACAUACUACAAAACCCCUUCUUCUUCAGUCCACCUGAUCGAGGUGGAGUCGCAAGAAGAUACAGAGGAAUCAGAGGAGAAAGAGGUUUCAGUGGCAGAAAUGGCAAAAUUGAAACAUCCCAUCAGUUGCAAAGCCCUCACAAAGCCACCCAAAGACCAAAAGCCACCAUCAUUCACAGGAGGAUUCGUUCCAAACAAACCAACACAAAACAAGGUUUACUCUUUUAACUUAACCAAGGUCGAUGCCUUGUUCAACGAAAUGCUACUGCAGAAGGCAAUAGAGACGCCUCACAGAAUACCGAAGCCGGAAGAACUCAAAGGCAGACAGUACUGCAGGUGGCACAACUCUUGGAACCAUUCUACCAAUAGUUGUGUCGUUUUCAGGGACGUAGUACAAGAAGGAAUAACGGCAGGAAGGUUGAAGCUGGCAGAAAAACCACCAUCCGUCACGACGGAUCCUUUUCCUCAACCGCAAGUCAAUAUGGUCAACUUAAAUUGGCCAGAACAGAGGAAAAUCGACCCUAUCACAGAUGCUUGUUGCAGCAGAGGCAGAAGAAUCAUAAGGGAGACCAGUCAGAUACCAAGAGCGACCAUCUCGGCUGGGGUGGUGCUCUGCAGUAGGUGCAAGUGUGAAACAGAGCUAGAGGUGGUCCUAGACAAGCAAAAUCAGCCCACAUCUAGUGUCUUUGACAGAAUUGGAACUAUAUCCCAAGACAAGACAAGGCAGAAGAGCUGUCUUAGGCCUACACACUACAGCGAGAGGAGGAUGGAGCAACCCAGGAAGGAAAUAUCAGUCAAGACGCCCGGAAACGAAAGACCCUUGGCAACGAUCAUAGAAGGGAGGUGGUAUUCCGUAGGAAGAAGCGGUAGACCGACUCUGGAGCUGACCAGAACCCAGAAGAGAAGAAUCCAGAGCCAAUACUGCACAUAUCUUAAAAGCCAAGACAAUACGCAGGUACGUCCACAACCCAGUUCUGCCAGGAAAGGAAAGAAUCCUGAAACACUUCCCCAGACAGAACAGAAAGCUUGCCAGUCAAGGGAAUUGCUGAAAACAGAGCAGCCAGCCAGGUCUCCUAUCCAUAUAGCCUCGUCGUCCGGCAGCCAUCCUGACACCACGCGGACAUUAGAGAAAUCCGGGUCUACCCCGUUACAAAAAGAAGACGACUACGCUGAGGAAUAUGAAGAAGAGCAAUUAGACUAUGAACCUUCUGCAGAUGAUCAGAAAGAGCCCCUCGAAGUAGCAGAACAGGAAAGAGCCCCUCGAAGUAGCAGAACAGGAUGACUGGACGGAAGAAUAUGGGGAAGAAUUAAUGGAAUUUGGUGAGGAAUUGGACCCAGAAACAGAAGCUUUUGGCGCAGAAUUAGAAGACCUCCUACAGGGUGAUCUGGGAAUUAACAUGGUAUUCAUCCUACCAGGUGAAUUCAGGGCUACCGAAGGACAAAAAAGCACUCUGGAAGGGGACGUUUUCUCCCAGGAGAGCUUUGAGUGUAGGUUGGCAGAAGCAGAGGAGCCGCCAGAACCGCAAGCAGACGGCCCUAGGACAGGCAGAACAGCCAAUAAACCAGCUACAGAGCAGGCUUGUUUCGCCAAGCUAACCAGAGAAAUGGCAAAUCACCUCAGACCGUUGUUUAUAACGGCAAAUCUUGGAGGUAUUCCUAUCUCCAAUAUCAUGGUAGAUGGAGGUGCAGCCAUUAAUCUAUUACCCCACAGAAUGCUGACCAAGUUGGGCAGGACAGAGAGGGAUCUAAUUCCAACACGAUUAACCGUCACCAACUUCGCUGGGGGCAUCACCAAAAUACACGGCAUCUUAGAUGUAGAUGUCGUAGUCGGAAGCAAAGAGUUGAAAAUAGCAUUCUUUGUUAUAGACACUACCUCCACCACCUACAAUGCACUACUCGGCAGGGAUUGGAUUCACCAGAGCCUUUGUAUCCCUUCCACCCUCCACCAGCAGUUAGCAAUAUGGAAUGAAGAAGGCUGCAUGGAGAUUAUAGAGGCCGAUCCACGGCCAUUCCUACCCUCUGCCAUGUGCUUUGAAGCAAGGUAUUAUCAUGAUGACCUCGGUCCCUACACUUUCCUUGGAGUCAAUCAGAACGGCCGCCCCCAUGGUGUCACGGCCCAAAGACUCAUUGAAGAAGGUCUAGCCAGUUCUCUAGAGGACUGGAAUAGACUUUCUUGUGCCGAACUUCCAGAAUUCUGAUGCUUAGUCCCAAUCAACUGGACAAGGAUCGAGCUGCAACAAUCCGAUCCAUCACAAAAAGAUUGUUGAUAUACUGGGGAGAAAUGAGACUUUUCAUACAGAAUCCAGCCAUUAAUAUGGCAGAAUUCACCCAUGAAAGCAUAAAAGAACAAGAGGAAGAAGUUUUACAGGAGGAAGUGUUGGAAUUUGCACCGGCAGCACUAGAUGACUCCCUGCCAGAAGUAGAGGACCCUCUACAGGAGAUAAACUUAGGGACAGAAGAAGAUCCAAGGCCUACUUUCAUCAGUACACUGUUAAAGGAACCACUCAAGGCUGAACUCACGGCACUUUUGCAGGAGUUCAGAGAUUGUUUUGCCUGGCAUUACCACGAGAUGCUAGGAUUGGACAGGCAGUUAGUGGAGCACAAGCUGCCAAUUAAAGAUGGCUACCUUCCAGUCAAACAGGCCAGAAGAAGAAUGUCUAUGGACACAGAACUAAAGGUCAAAGAAGAGAUAGAAAGGUUGCUCAAGGCAGGAUUCAUCAGGCCAGCCGUCUAUGCCGAUUGGUUAGCAAAUAUUGUACCUGUUCUCAAAAGAAAAACAGGGGCAGUUAGAAUCUGCGUAGAUUACAGGAAUCUGAAUGAGGCAUCUCCUAAAGACGAAUAUCCUAUGCCAAUGGCAGACAUGUUAGUGGAUGGAGCCGCUCAUAACCAGAUGCUAUCUUUCAUGGACGGCAAUGCAGGUUAUAACCAGAUUAUGAUGGCAGAACAGGACAUCCACAAGACAGCCUUUAUGUGUCCAGGACAUAUAGGUGCUUUCGAGUAUACUGUAAUGCCUUUCGGUUUGAGAAAUGCGGGAGCUACCUACCAAAGGGCAAUGAAUUCUAUUUUUCAUGAUAUGAUAGGACAUUCUUUGGAAGUAUACAUAGAUGACGUGGUGAUUAAAUCCCCUGAGGAAGGAAAUCACGUAGCAAGUCUGAGAAAGGCAUUCCUGAGAAUGAGGCAGCACAAGCUAAAAAUGAACCCCAAAAAAUGUGUUUUUGGAGUCCAGGCAGGGAAUUUCUUAGGAUUCUUGGUCCACCAAAGAGGUAUAGAGGUUGACAGAAAUAAAGCAAAAUCCAUCAUAGAAGCUCUACCACCUCGGAACAAGAAGGAACUUCAGAGUCUCUUAGGAAAAAUCAAUUUCCUAAGGAGAUUCAUAUCCAAUUCUGCAGGAAAAAUCCAACCCUUUUCCUCCCUGUUGAGACUGAAGCAGGAACAGACAUUCAAAUGGGAAGAACAGCACCAACAGGCUUUCCAGGAAAUAAAGCAUUACCUCUCAAAUCCACCAGUUCUGUCCCCACCAAAAAGGGGCAGACCCCUCAAACUUUAUGUAUCUGCAUCAGAAGUAUCCAUUGGAAGUCUGCUAGUUCAAGAUAACAAAGAAGGAAAAGAACAGGCGGUCUACUAUCUAAGCAGAACGUUGACAGAAGUGGAAAGAAGGUAUUCCGCAAUAGAAAGGCUUUGCCUAGCCUUAUAUUUCACUGCUGUGAAGCUCAGGCACUACAUGCUGCCACAUACUAUCUACAUCAUUGCCAAAACCGACUUAAUCAAAUACAUGCUAACAAGACCAAUGCUGAGGGGCAGAAUUGGGAAAUGGACUUUGGCUUUGACAGAAUUCACCCUCAGGUAUGUCCCCCAGAAAGCUGUCAAAGGGCAAGCUGUGGCAGACUUUUUGGCAGAUCACCUGGGAGAGGAAAUUGAAAACAUGGAUUCUUUGGACAUAGCAAAUGCAGAUCUGUUAACUAGAGCUCAUGUUUGCCUUAACAAUCCAAUUUACUCGAUUCAUCUCACACCUUGGAAAUUAUAUUUUGAUGGAUCGAAGACAGACAAGGCUUCAGGAGCAGGGAUUGUUCUGGAAGAACCAUUAGGGGUCAGGCAUUGCUAUUCUUUCCAGCUAGAUUUCCAAUGCACCAACAACAGGGCCGAAUAUGAGGCUUUGAUUAUAGGGCUCGAAAUGUUGGUAGAAUUAGGAGUCCAGUCCGUGGAAAUCUUGGGAGAUUCCAUGCUUGUCCUAAAACAGAUUGCUGGAGAAUAUAAGUGUCUGAAUCCCUCUCUGGCUGUAUAUCUAGUGGCAGCUAGAAAUCUGCUAACAGAAUUUAGAGAAGCUACUUGGGAGCACAUCCCAAGGGAGAAAAACUUUGCAGCCAAUGAACUGGCUCAGGUGGCAUCAGGCAUACAAAUGCCCGAAGACUGCGUCCAAAGGAUCAUCAAGAUAGGAAGGAAAAGUCUACCAUCUGUUUUGACGAGAGGAAUGGAGAUAGAAGUCAAUUCUGCCUCGAUCACUGGAGAUGAGUGGAGGGAGCCUAUCAUGACUUACUUACGAUAUCCCACUCUGCCCUCUGAGAAAAGAGUCAGAAUCAUGGCUACAAACUACCUCAUGUGGAAUGAAGAUUUGGUCCGAAAAAGUAAGGAUGAGGUACUAUUAAGGUGCCUCGGGAAGACAGAAUACAUGAAAGUCAUGGGAGAAACCCAUGAGGGGGUCUGUGGAGCUCACCAAGGGGGAAGAAAGAUGUGCUGGUUAAUCAGAAGAUAUGGCUACUUCUGGCCAACCAUGAUGAAGGAUUGCAUCGACUAUUCCAAAGGAUGUGAAGCCUGUCAAAGGCACGGCCCAAUCCAGCAGGCUCCUUCGGUUCCCAUGAAUCCAGUAGUAAAACCAUGGCCUUUCAGGGGAUGGGCAAUGGAUCUCAUUGGCAAAAUCUAUCCAGCCAGCAACCAGCAGCACUGUUUCAUCAUCGUUGCCACAGAUUAUUUCACCAAGUGGGUAGAAGCCAAGCCAGUAAAAACCACAACAUCUCAAGAGAUCAUCACCUUCAUAGAAGAACAGAUCAUACAAAGGUUUGGCAUUCCAGAAUCAAUCACAACCGAUAGGGGUUCUUCUUUCAUAUCUAGGGACAUGCUAGAUAUGGCAGAAACAUUCAAGUUCAAACUGCUUCAAUCUACUCCUUACUAUGCUCAAGCUAAUGGACAGGCAGAAUCAAGUAACAAGGUGAUUAUCAAUAUCAUUAGAAAGAUGCUAGAGAAAAAUCCAAAGCAAUGGCACGAGAAGUUGUCAGAAACUUUGUGGGCAUACAGAACUUCGAAGAGAGAAGCGACUGGCAUGACCCCCUAUGCUCUAACCUACGGCCACGAUGCAAUUCUUCCCAUGGAGAUAGCAGUCCAGUCCCUUAGAAUUGCUCACCAGCAUGGUCUCACUGGGGAGGAUUACUCCCAAGCCAUGUUACUGGAAUUGGAAGGAUUGGAUGCAAGCAGAAUUGAUACCCUCAACAAACUCUUAGCAGGAAAACAGGCUGUAUCGAGAGCCUACAACAAAAGAGUCAAAAACAAGAGUUUUGAAGAGGGAGAGAUAGUCUGGAAGGCAAUUCUGCCCCUUGGAGCACACAUAGCUGGGUAUGGGAAAUGGUCACCUACAUGGGAAGGCCCUUUUAUAAUUAACCAAAUCCUCGGAAAGGAACAACAUUGACCUUUUUGUUUCUUGAAAGGGAAUCUUGUUUAGAUUUGUUUUUACUUUAAAGUUGUUCUGUUUUUACUGUACUUUCAAAACCGUGUCCGGUUAUUGCAUCAAGAAUAAAAAGCAGUAAAAAUGCUUUGAAAGCUUAUAUAAAAAUAGCCACCUUUACGGCAAAUUAUUCAAACAAAAGAAAGAAGAAGCUAAAAUCCUAGCUUUCUAAGAGUCUCCUGUAGGUUCGCUUUCUUGACAGACAGUUCUUUCUGGAGCAACACCCCCUGGUGAAUUGAAGCCUCUGCAAUUUCCAAAGCUGGCCUGGAAGCUGCAACCAUACUUUGCACAAGGAAGGUGGCCUUAGUUUUGGAACUCAGUCCAGCCCCAAGUUUGUUCUGCACCUCCCUACACUCUGCCAGCUGUUUUUGGAGUUCUUCAAUCUGCUUCUCCAACUUAUCCGCGGUAGCCUUAGCCUCCUUAUAUCCAGCCACCAUCUGAUCCAGUUCUGUUUUCUGCCUGGCAAAGUCAGCCAGAUUAGCUUUAUGUGUGGCCUUGCAGAACUCAGAAGUUUUGAACGUAGGCCUAAGAUCUUCAUAGCGAUCAUGCAGAUUAAGCACAUCUCUGGCCAGGCUUAGGCCCAUCUCAAGAAUAGGCCUCGGAGCCAUGUUCUGUCUAUGCAGCAGGUCCAGGUCCUUCAUCAGCUGAUCAAGAGCCCCUGUAUCUUCAUCAAAUUCCAGCUCAGUGGACUGCCAGAUUUUCAACCUCUCCAUGGCUUCCUCCACCGCCCUAGAUUUUGCCUUGCCUGGAGGAGAGCUGAGUUUCUCCAGUCUGUCCAAUUGGGCAUCCAGAUCCAUGGCUUCAAACUCUUCAAGUUCUGGAUCAGCAAAAGAAGCCGUGACAGAUGAUCCUGGAAAGGAAUGAAUAGGCAUCUGCAGAAGAGAACAUAAGCUAAGACCAGGCAGAAAGUGGAAGAUAAAGGAGGCUCGAAAGUUAUGAAAACUUACAACGACAAUGGGAGGCUUCAGAGGGCUGGACACCGCAGCCAGGGCACCAGUAGCUUUAGGCACUUCCACCUGGAAAGACUGCAAAUGUUAAAAAGACAGAACAGACAGAACAGCAGGAAAACAUGAACAGUUGAAGGGGAAAAUUACCACAACCACAGGAGCAGCUGCAGUCGUUCCCACCUCAGCCUCCGGGACCACAACGGUUAAUUCUGCCUGAUCCACGGGGUCUGAUGCAGAUGGCUCCACCUGAUCCUCGGCCUCUGGAGCGGCAGUAGAGUGUUCUGCCUCAGCAUCCUCAAAAAGAGCCAGUUCUGAGCUGGUCAGCUCAGCACUCGGACCCUUUUGUUGCUUCUGCGCCAAGGCAAUGCUCUCCGCUAUCACCUCAGCAGGAAUUUCAUCCUACAGGAAGGGGGUCAGAACAGAAGGAAUGAAGCAAAAGAGGAACUAAUGCGAGUCACAAACUAAAACUCACCUCGUCUUCCACCGCUGCCACCUUCUCUUGGGGCACCUCCUCCAGCUCUUGCAGCUCUUUUUCCUGCUCCACCUCCUCAAAGGCUUCUCGCAGCUCAUCGUCCGUCCCAGAAGUAGUGGCUGGGAUUGCUGCGGCUUCUUCUGCGGCAAAGUAUUCCACUUCACCCCUCUUCUUAAGCUUUUUUAACUUAGUAGGAGGAGGAGAAGGACUCCCAGCUGGACAGAACAAAAGGAAAAGAUUAGAAAACAGAAAACAGAAUAAAUCUAGAGAGAACAGUUGGAAUGCUCCAAACUUACCAGGAAUGCCAGGCCGCGUGGUAUUAUCCAGAGGGGGAGCAGGCCCUUUUCUUUUUCUUCUACCAGAAGGAACAGCCUCGGCAGGGGUUUGUUCUGCCUCAACAUCAUCCUCUUCAUCAGCAGAAGGGAGCUCCAAAUCCCCGGCGGCAAUGACAGAAGAGACUUGAGGACAAUCCAACAGGAAAAGACAGAAGAAAAAUAAAAAGGAAAGGCUUACCAAUCACUUCUCCAGCCUGGACAGACUGUCCACCCACGUUCUUUGUCAGGGAAGGAUCUAAUAACAGGCAGAACAUAGGUUAAAAACAGAUUAUCAAGACAGAACAAGUCCCAGACAGAAUCAAGUAUCUACCUUCUAUAAUUUGUGCAUUAAUGUCCUUGAUGGUCUGGAUCAUAUGCGCUUUGGCCUCCCCCUCCGCAAAAAGAUGCCAGUUCUCCCAGCCGUCAAAAAGCGUCUUGAGGACAGUAACAGAAGCUGGUAGAUUUUGGAAUCUGGUUUGCCACCAGGCGUCAAAAUCAGCAGAACUCCAGGAAUUUGGCUCCCAUGAGGGAUAGAGGGCAUCCGUGCUAUUAUUUAUCUUGUUCACUGCACACCGGGCAUCCUUGUGCACCUCCAGAUCAUCUACAUCCCUCCAAGAAGAGGCCCGAUUGCAACUCCGAUAUGAUUUCAAUGGUAUGAGCUGAGGGCAGCCAAGCUGCCUUGCACAGAAGUUGGGAUGAUAGACUUCUGCCCCCAGAUGAUAGUUUGGAGGUUUGCCCCCGCCAUGGGGCAGAUCUCUGGGCAAAGUAAUGCUCAGAAAUUUCUUCCUGAAACCUGUUCUGGCAGCCUCGUCUUCUGGUUCUUUCUCGAAAAGCCGAGAUCCAGUCUGGAACCAAGGAUAGGUCCUUCUGAUCACCACUUGCCACUGAGCAGCCGACCUCUUGGUACAAUGCCUGAAGAGCAUCAAAUACUCCUCAAGAGAGCGCUUGGGCACUUCUGCCGAUAUCAGGGGAAGGGCCAGAACUUGGUCUUCAGGCAGAACUAUGUCUGGAAACCUUAACUCGGGGAAAUAUACCUGCAGCCAGAUCUGGAUCAUCCAGAAUGCGCCAGGAGCAGACAGGUUCAAUGGAUUCUCAAGAGUGGCAGUAUACAGAUUCUUGAAAAGGUGGGCCAGAACUGUUGGUCCAAGCCCCACAUCAGUGUGAUUGUGAAGUGCUUCUGCCAGAUGUCUGUAUUCAAGCAGAACUGCCGAAGACCGAUUGGGGAAGACAAAUCGGUUCAGCCAAUACAGAAGGAACAACAUAUGUUGCUGAUCCUUGUCCUUCUCAACGCUGAAUCUCUUCAGAUAGUUGGAGAAGGAGCAGUUCUGGUUGAUCGUGGCUGGAGGGAUAGUGAAGGGAGUGGCCACUUUCUCCUGGUUCUUUCGCCUGUGAUAAUCCCCAACAGCAUCAACAGGUCUGCCAUGGGGCCUAAACCCAAAAAUCUGAGCCAUAUCCAGCAGAGUUGGAGCCAUGGGACCCACACGGAAAUCAAAUGUGUUGCUGGCAGAAUUCCAAAAACACAAGGCAGCAGCAAGCAGGUUCUCAUCUCUGUUAAUCGACUGCUUGGACAGAAGAAUGGCGUCAUAGAGCCCAGCUCUCCUCCAGUGACCCCCAUAUCUCGGGAGAAGUCUGUCAAUCCAGUCUGCCCAUUUGACUGGACUGUUCCUCACCUCGCUGGACGGGAAAGAUCGACUCAAAUUCUUGCUAACCCAAGAAUGAGAAGCCAGGGCGGAAGUACUCUCGAAGCACAAAGGAGCCUCGGCGUCCUUUUUCAGCAGUUCUGCCGCCUCAGCCGGAACAGGGCCAAACCAGUGAGGCCCCAGCACCAGGGUAUUCUCGAACAAAUGAAGAACAUUUUCAUCCAGAUUCUUCUGAGCAAAAGGAUGGAGCUUGCUCCUAACCUCUAUUGCGUGGGCAUCAAUCCCGCUCCCAGUGAUGUAAUCAGGAGGGAUUGAAGCUGAAGAAGACUGAGCAUGGGACCUUGGGGAAGACAUUUCGGAUUCAAGGAAGGAAGCAGAGAGAAAAGGGGGAAGUUCGAAGGAAACGAUGAAAACCCGAAGAGAAGUUCCAAGUUUGAAAGGCUAAGAGGCAGUGGGUCUGAAAUUUCUUUUAAAAGGGAAGGCUCGAAACGUGAGAGGAAGAAGAAGAUACGGCAGCUGGUGAUUAUUGGCUAGUAACUAGCCAAAUAAAUAGCCGUUUUUCUUCUCCCACGAACUCUAGAUCAUUAUGGGCGGACGUGACAGACGCACGAAGCGGAAAGGACUGGCGCGCAAAUUCAUGGCAAAAACAUUAAGUCUGAAAAACCGUUCCAAAAACAAGUUCAGACUUAAUGGGGGCAUUGUUUGGGCCUAAAUUUGACACACCAAAGAGAUCCAGAAACAGGCCCGUGGUGAAAUACUUAUCCAGUCCCAAAAAAACCCAAAACGUAGAAAGCUGUCAUAUUGGGCCUUUGAAGAUCAACCCACAAAAUAUUGUUUAAACUCAAGCCCAAGAGACUAAAGACACAUUCACGUGGCUACCUCACCUCUCUGGAAAGUCAGCAAUUCCAACUAGAGUUUUUAUGUGAGAAGGGACGUUUCUGAAAACACUGCCGAGAAAGAAAAAUCAAAGGGGCGUCUAUGAUCAGAGACUUUUUGCUCCAAAGCAACACACUAUCUUCUAAAAAGAUUUCGCAAAUCACGUUUUCAAGAGCAAGAAACAGGGUGUUGUUCAGAAAAUACAAAAGAAAAAUCAAAACCGCCAUAGGAUCAGCUCACACAGACGGUGGCAUUAAAAUAGAAAAAAACGUCAGCCAGGAAACCAGGGAAGGGAUCGCUAUAGGAAGUGACCACUGGGAGUCUAUCUGCCAUAAUUGAUAAAAAUCUUUCCUGCUUUACGUUUUGAGAAAUCUUUUGCCGCCCAUUAUUAAAAUUUAAAACCACCUUCAAAAGGAGGGUCUCUUAUAAAAACAGAAGCAGGCAAGAAAGAAAGGACACUCAACUCAUCAACCAAAAAAAACAACAGCAAGAAAAACAGCCAAGAGCUCACAAGAGCUCACUUAAAUUCCA